CAGAGUUGAUGAUCUUCCUCUAGGUGAAAUAAAUGAAGUCUAUCUUUUGGAUUUCAUUGGAUCCUCUGGUUUUAUCGGGGAAUUAUAUCCAAAAGUCGAGAGUGUGAUAAUAUUAGACCAUCAUAAGACUGCAGUUGAAGCUCUCUGUGGCAAUGCUUCAUUUGGCAAGAAUGUGAUAAAGGUUAUUGAUAUGGAUAAGAGUGGUGCUACAAUUGCAUUUGACUUCUUUAAAGAAAAGCUUUUAAAAAGAAGUGAUACUUUGAAAGGUCUUGGAAUCCACAACCAUCAGGAGGCAGGUCAAAAAAAUUUGUCUGGUUGCAAAUUUGAAAGAGUACAGAAGCUCUUUGAAUACAUUGAAGAUGGUGACAUAUGGAGGUGGAAGCUCCCUCACAGCAAAGCUUUUAGUAGUGGCUUGAAAGAUAUGAAUAUAGAA